rnacentral:rRNA from 1 species
CGGGGUGGAGUAACGCGUGGGUAACCGUGCCUCAUACAGGGGGAUAACAGUUGGAAACGACUGCUAAUACCGCAUAAGCGCACAGUGCUGCAUGGCACAGUGUGAAAAACUCCGGUGGUAUGAGAUGGACCCGCGUCUGAUUAGCUAGUUGGUGGGGUAACGGCCUACCAAGGCGACGAUCAGUAGCCGGCCUGAGAGGGUGAACGGCCACAUUGGGACUGAGACACGGCCCAA